rnacentral:rRNA from 1 species
GACGAACGCUGGCGGCGUGCUUAACACAUGCAAGUCGAACGGUAAGGCCCUUCGGGGUACACGAGUGGCGAACGGGUGAGUAACACGUGGGUGAUCUGCCCUGCACUUCGGGAUAAGCCUGGGAAACUGGGUCUAAUACCGGAUAGGACCCUGGGAUGCAUGUCCUGGGGUGGAAAGCUUUUGCGGUGUGGGAUGGGCCCGCGGCCUAUCAGCUUGUUGGUGGGGUGAUGGCCUACCCAGGCGACGACGGGUAGCCGGCCUGAGAGGGUGACCGGCCACACGGGGACUGAGAUACGGCCCGGACUCCUGCGGGAGGCAGAAGUGGGGAAUAUUGCACAAUGGGCGCAAGCCUGAUGCAGCGACGCCGCGUGAGGGAUGACGGCCUUCGGGUUGUAAACCUCUUUCAGCACCGACGAAGCGCAAGUGACGGUAGGUGCAGAAGAAGGACCGGCCAACUACGUGCCAGCAGCCGCAGUAA